GUUCCUUCUCCACAGCUUCGUCACUCUCCCCAUUCGUGCCCCAGAGUGGGCCCAAGGUGGGCAGUGGGGACGGAGAGCUGGACUUCUCUGGAGGAGGCACUCUUGCUCCUCAGGAAUGGGGUCCUUGGGGCCCUUCUGGGUGGGCAAGGGGCAGAAAGCACAUGGUAGGGGGGGCAGGGGCCCCAAAUGGGGCAUGCAUCUCCCCACCCUCUGAUCAGCCCACCUUGCCUCUCCUCGAAGAUACCUUGAGAGGCAAGAAGGCCCCAGAGGCAUCGAAGGUGCCCAUCUCUUCAUCCUCAUCAUUGAGGCACCACUCUGGGAGUCCGUCCUUGUCGUCGUCAAAGCCAUCAGGCCCAUGGCACCUCCGGAGGUGAGAGCUGCCUCCCCCACCCCGCCCCCUCCUCUUCACCACACCCUCCUCGCUCCCCUCGCAUAUCAAAGUCAAACUUUCGACGCCGCUCCCCAUGUUCCCGCCAGCCAGCAGAGCGGGGGCCGCCAUCUGGAAGGAAAAGGGAAACUGGCACCCAGAGCAAGGCAGUAUCGUCCCUCAUCUGCCAUUCACAGGACACCCCAGGAAUACCAGCAUCACCAACACUGUUCUCCCACCCAGCCCCACCCCAGCAAGCCUUCUGCUCCCUCCUCUUGGCCACAGGAGUGCACUUUCCCGCUCUCGAAGCCCACAGCACCAAUUUGACUGAUCUUACCAGGACUAGUGGAGCGCCAGCGAUCACCAUCUCGCCGGGGUCCUGCCCCAAGUCUCCAGCUGCCCUCUUCCUCCUCCUCCUGCUCCUCUCGAAGUGAGCGCCAGUUCUCACUGUCUGAGCGGGCGUGCUCCUUCCUUGGGCCAGCCCCUCCCUCCUCAAACCCAGAUCUCGCUGGCCAUGGGAAGAGAGGCGGCACAGUAAGCAGGACGGCUGCCCUGGGACCUGGAAGUCUCUUAACCCUGCUUCAGGCCAUCCUGCCUCUACCACUGGCCCCAUAAACUUCCCCCUAUCUGGGGGCACCCAUCUCAGUCGCCCCCCCACCUCUGGCCACCAGGCUUGCCACUCUCAUACCUCCAUCCCUCCUUGCCGGCUUC
rnacentral:lncRNA from 1 species